UUGGAUGGUGCGGAGUUCUAUGGGAACAAUGGUGGAGACGUAAGAGGUGCAACUGCAGCAUUCCCUAAGUUGGAGACACCCAUUCAGUUGUGCUAAUCUAAAUGUGCCUUCUCAAAAUAUGACAUCUCUAUGCUUUAAAAUAGACAACAGAAAGAUGUUGUGAAUGAUGGCAAUCGAUACUUCUCCAGUAUCCUUCCAUGAACAUUGAAAAGUCAUCACAUGCCUGUAUUUG